GCAGAAAAGGGGUUGCAUGGAGUUAGGUGCUCAACUGGCCUGCAAUAUCUGUGUCUUAGUUGUUGCAUUUACAGACAAAGAGAGAGCGAGGUUGAGAAGAAGGCACCCAACAAACUAUCAAAGGGAUGGUUGGAGUUUUGGAGACGGGAGUUUCUGCAAUCAUUUUUUUUUUUUUCUUUACCUUUCUUAAGGAAACAAAAUUAACAAUUUUUUUUUUAGUAAAAAGAAAAAAAGGAAGAAGAAGAAAGAAUGAAGUUUCAGUUCUGAUUCUAUUGAUGUUAUUAGGUUUUCUUUUUGUCUUCUUCAUACAUAAUCUAUAUUUCUUUUGGAGAUGUAAUGUAUAGGGCAUAGAUAUAUAUUAGGAAAUUAAAGUUAAAUCAAAUAAGCCUUGAGAUUAGAGAAAGCUUAUUAUUGAUUUUGGUUA